rnacentral:rRNA from 1 species
CUACCAUGCAAGUCGAGCGGAAACGAGUUAUCUGAACCUUCGGGGAACGAUAACGGCGUCGAGCGGCGGACGGGUGAGUAAUGCCUAGGAAAUUGCCCUGAUGUGGGGGAUAACCAUUGGAAACGAUGGCUAAUACCGCAUGAUGCCUACGGGCCAAAGAGGGGGACCUUCGGGCCUCUCGCGUCAGGAUAUGCCUAGGUGGGAUUAGCUAGUUGGUGAGGUAAGGGCUCACCAAGGCGACGAUCCCUAGCUGGUCUGAGAGGAUGAUCAGCCACACUGGAACUGAGACACGGUCCAGACUCCUACGGGAGGCAGCAGUGGGGAAUAUUGCACAAUGGGCGCAAGCCUGAUGCAGCCAUGCCGCGUGUGUGAAGAAGGCCUUCGGGUUGUAAAGCACUUUCAGUCGUGAGGAAGGUGGUGUAGUUAAUAGCUGCAUUAUUUGACGUUAGCGACAGAAGAAGCACCGGCUAACUCCGUGCCAGCAGCCGCGGUAAUACGGAGGGUGCGAGCGUUAAUCGGAAUUACUGGGCGUAAAGCGCAUGCAGGUGGUUUGUUAAGUCAGAUGUGAAAGCCCGGGGCUCAACCUCGGAAUAGCAUUUGAAACUGGCAGACUAGAGUACUGUAGAGGGGGGUAGAAUUUCAGGUGUAGCGGUGAAAUGCGUAGAGAUCUGAAGGAAUACCGGUGGCGAAGGCGGCCCCCUGGACAGAUACUGACACUCAGAUGCGAAAGCGUGGGGAGCAAACAGGAUUAGAUACCCUGGUAGUCCACGCCGUAAACGAUGUCUACUUGGAGGUUGUGGCCUUGAGCCGUGGCUUUCGGAGCUAACGCGUUAAGUAGACCGCCUGGGGAGUACGGUCGCAAGAUUAAAACUCAAAUGAAUUGACGGGGGCCCGCACAAGCGGUGGAGCAUGUGGUUUAAUUCGAUGCAACGCGAAGAACCUUACCUACUCU